UACGUAGGGGGCAAGCGUUAUCCGGAUUUACUGGGUGUAAAGGGAGCGUAGACGGCAUGGCAAGUCAGAUGUGAAAGCCCGGGGCUCAACCCCGGGACUGCAUUUGAAACUGUCAGGCUGGAGUGCAGGAGAGGUAAGUGGAAUUCCUAGUGUAGCGGUGGAAUGCGUAGAUAUUAGGAGGAACACCAGUGGCGAAGGCGGCUUACUGGACUGUAACUGACGUUGAGGCUCGAAAGCGUGGGGAGCAAACAGG
rnacentral:rRNA from 1 species